rnacentral:rRNA from 1 species
UGGGGGAUAUUGCACAAUGGGCGAAAGCCUGAUGCAGCGACGCCGCGUGGGGGAUGAAGGCCUUCGGGUUGUAAACUUCUUUUGCUCUGAACAAGGCAUGCUAAUGGGUGUGUUGAGUGUAGGGGUUGAUUAGCGCCGGCUAACUACGUGCCAGCAGCCGCGGUAAUACGUAGGGCGCGAGCGUUGUCCGGAAUUAUUGGGCGUAAAGGGCUUGUAGGUGGCUGGUUGCGUCUGUCGUGAAAGCUCAUGGCUUAACUGUGGGUUUGCGGUGGGUACGGGCUGGCUUGAGUGCAGUAGGGGAGGCUGGAAUUCCUGGUGGAGCGGUGGAAUGCGCAGAUAUCAGGAGGAAUACCGGUGGCGAAGGCGGGUCUCUGGGCUGUUACUGACACUGAGGAGAGAAAGCAUGGGGAGCGAACAGG